UCGCGAAGGAUGGAGGAUCGUGAAAGUCUCCUUUCACAAGCUUACUACCAAUUUUUUCGCAAACACGCGAGCAACAGAGGCGGGUGUCUUCCUCUUUGAUCGAAUUCCACUAGACGAUGGCAGCGAAGCGAUACGACACCGUUAUCGAGAUAAGUUGAUGUGUCGGAUCGUUAGGCAACGUGAUGAACCUCAGCCGAAAAGUCCCGAGGCGUGCAUUGUACUCUUGUUGAGCACGAGAAGACCGAAGAAAUACGAGGAAGAGGUAAGAGAGCGGAUCGAGCGUAUGCGACCAAAGAGGGUGGGCUUUUUUGUUCCGUUGAUAGGAGAUGAAAAAUGGAGAGUGACGGAGAGCUCGAUUAGAAACAAGAAUAUGAAUCGGGCGCCCUCCGAUCGUCAAUAUUCAUGAAACGUAGCCGUAGCCGGGCGUCGUUACUUAGGCACCUCGGCCAUCUGGGAAAGAAAAGCCGACCACGAAACGAAGGGAUGAUGCAGACUACUGUACCUCUCCAUGUGCGUGUCUAAGAAGCAUGUGUGAGCUAAAAACCAGACACGGUAUUUUCAGCUCGCCGAUAAAGUGUUUAACGAGGUGAAAGUAGAAAGUCUGCAAAAUCUGUGAAUCGACACGCCGUCGACGUAAUUAAACAGGAAGAUAAUUAGGGAUGUUCGAAAAAGAGCGAAUUGGACAAUGUACUUUAGAUAACAUAAAACUAAUGCUUGCAUAAUCACCGUUUUCUUCAAUGUGAAGCAUUUUAUAAAAUACUCUUGACAAUUUUACAAGAUUCACAAAAUUACAAGAGUUUAAAAACGAUGUAAAACAGUUAAAAUAAGUUGUACAAAUAGUACGGCGCCUUAAAAUAACAAAGCUUUCUCGGUGAGUAAUAUCCCUCAGUUAGUGAAAUUAAAACGUACAUAAUUGAGACAGAAAAUAUUUACCCUGUUGUUCGCAUCCAAUUUGAGUGAUUAUGAACGUCAGAUCGCGAAUAAAAUUAGCCGUCCCGUGACCGGAACAAUUCCCCUUUUCAGCGACCUCCGUCCGACGACCGGAGGUAAGAUUCGUUUUUCAUAGGAACACAAAAGGAUCUGAAAUGUAGAGGAAAAUUUCAGCGUCCUUAUUGUCGUUGAAACUUUUCGACGACACCUAGAGCUGGCACUGGGCUAGCUUUCUCCGUUGCAAAGUUGCCAGUUUUUGUUGCGCCGCAACGUUGAAACUUACAGGAAGCUGCGAGCUUCGCAGGUCGCGGUGUGAUGAAUUAUUGUACAUUAGCGGAGAACGGUGCUUUGUCCCGGGAAUACUGGGCAUACAAAGUUAAAGACUCCAGCGAAUUUUGUAUUCCGCUGGUACGGGAUUGUUGCGAAAAAUAACAGGUCACGGGAAUUACGGACGACUCGUUGAAUUAGUUGAAUGAACGAGGUCCUGAAAUUGACAACUUCCCAGUCGCGCGCAUUUAUCCGAAAUCCUUCGGAUUCAAUUGCGUUUACACCAAGUUGACGUCAAAUUUUUAAUAAUAUAAAAUCAAAUUAAUUUUAUCCUUUGACCUUUAGCUGAUGGAAAUAAGAUAUUAUCAGUGAUAAUAUUUUUAAAAUAAAUCAGCGACAAAGAUAUUUUUAAAACGAGGACAAUUCCAAUUGAUGAGUGGCAAAAAAUUGUCCACUGGCCGAAAUUAAAUUUUCAACGAAACAACAUUCCUUCCCACCGAUUGGUCCAUUGUACACAGAUGCUAAAUCGGUCGACCUCUCGUAGCAGCGAGCCGAGAAUAAUGCGAUUCGCGAAUAAAAUCCGUGCCAAUUUUCAUCCGGAUUUCCUAGCGUGGCUGUACCUACGCUGCCGGAGCGAAUGGCUGACGCACGUUGAUUGCAUACCUUAUAACCGCAAGAAAGGAUACAUCGUUCACACGGAUACGCACUUAUCCUUCCGGAGUGAGCUACGAGCGCAGUCGCAAAUAAUCAACUAUGCUCGAGGAGAUUUCUCAGCGGGUCCCGAAAAUGAACCCCAACAUGAGAUGAUGGAUAAAAUCGAUGAGCGCGAAGAUCAAGCGUCGAGUUGGAACAUGUUUUGCAUACAUGUAUUUUCUAGUAAUCAUCAGAUCUCUGAGGAUUUAACAGCGUCAGAGGCGGUGCUGCAACCAUUUGUAAUCAGGGUCAGACCGCAAUACAUGUAGAUACGUAGGUAGGUACCGAAGUACAUACAUCGUAGGAAAAGGCUACAUCACAGUGGUCAAACGUCCUAAAUUUGAUAGAGUUGUGCCUGUAAUUACUAAUCAAUUUCACGCAUCAAUUGACGCUCUACACGGAUUUAAUACGAAUUUAUAGCUCGUAAUCAGUGAACAUCAUAGCGACGGAAGUGUUACGGCUGCGAUGGUGAAAUGUCUUCAAUUUCAAUGGCAUUAAACUGUUUCUAGACUGCGUAACAAAACAUGUUGUAUGACUUAUAUUAGUUGAAAUUAUAUUGCAUGCAGGAUUUGAGACAUGGUGGCGUUAAAUAUUAACGAUUCAAGCGAGAAAAGCGUAAGGUUCCAUUUUACAUAAAGCUCGAAUAGAGGAUCUGGUGCUAACAAACAUGAUGAGAAUAACUGAUUGGAGGCAAACUAUGAAAUUGUUUUCAAUGAUUGUAAUUUACAGACUUGAAUGUUUUCAAAAGAUGAGAGGACCAUUUCCAUUUAAUUCACUCGACAAACAUUGAUUUAAUUGCAGAAACUAAAUGUAACGAUAUUAUACCAUUGUCAGCAAUUCCAAAUUAAUUCGUAACAAAUUUUUGCGGAGAUUAAAUUACAAUUAUCAUCGACAACAAUCUUUCACAGUUUCCUAAACAGAGAAACGAACACACGGGGCAAGAAAUCACGGUUAAUUGGAGCUGCGAGAAAGGGAAACAACGUUCUCCGGAAGCAAGCGAUAAGAAACCAUUUUCCACACCCCCGCACGAAAUUACCGUCAAAGUGUUUAUUUCUUCCAGUUCAAUGGCGAAUCUGGUCCGAUCUGGCGCACUUUCUUAAUUGCAUCGGUAAAGUUAAGAAGGGACGAAAGAGAAACAGAAGAAACUCGCUCGGGUCUUAAGAAAAACGCACAGAUAUUUUUUAUCUAAGUAGUGUUUCGUUUUCAGUUGCUCGCGUGAACAAGGGAAAUCACGAUCAAUAAUAAAUUAAAUGCCAAUCCGAUACGUACGAUCAAACAGCAAUAUUCAAUUGACAAUUUUCGAAAUUUUACUGUAAAUACCAUCUAUGUCGUACUCAUUUGUUUUUUUAAAAGUAAAACAGCCAGCAAUCUACCAAUUGAGAUUUUCUUGGUUUCUGCACUAAGAAUAUUAAUUAAUGUACUUAUUACUUAGGUUAACAUCGAAAGAAACAACCAUACACGUACGCGGCUAAUAAUAGAUCUAUUAUACGGACAUUAGGAGUGCUACAGCUAACGGAUGGAAUAAUUACCGCCUAGCAUCCACUUUAUGUAUACACCGUUAAUACACACAAGCCACGUCUGCGAGCGCACAUAAUUGUAGCUAGCAGUACCACUCGACCAAGCAGCGAAAAACAGUAAAAAGAGGGGAGAGGAAUAUAAAAAAGGGGCAUAAGAACGAGAUUCCUCGUAAGAAUUAGACAAGUACUUUGCGUGGUAUCGUGACCGGAGCAAUUUGCAUCGUAAUGUAAGUCAAUUACUGCGCGUUCCAUAAAUCACGAACACGUACGUACACGCCACCGCACCGGUAGAUAGUAACCCAGCGUGGCGGCUUUGUACACGGUUCUCCACUUCUGGGAUUACCAGAAAUUCGCGGGCCAGGCACGCGGUUACGGAGUAGCGGGGACGGCGCAACUUCCGGUCCAACUAACGCGUACAAUGCGUUAAUACGGCCGCGUUUCAAUCCCGUUUCUACGAAUUUACAUAUUUCCAUAAACGUUACGCAAGUCUUUCGUGCAACUACCAUCGAAACUGCCCUGCAGCUUUUCAAGCGAAUUUCGCGAUUGGAGAACUUCUUCCGUGACAGUUUUGAAAGUCUCGAAGGGAGGAAGGGAUAAUACUAAUACUGAUCUCCUAGAAUUCGCGAGAAAGUUUCGCAGAGAUGUUUUCGUUCAAUGACCUGUGCUAACGUGAUGUGCAUUAAACGAUUCAGAAAAGAGGAUAUUCCUGAAAAUAUUUUUCACUCUUCUGCGUAC